ensembl:lncRNA
CAGAAAGUCUCCAAAACUACAAUCUGAAGUCACCGACAUCACCACAAGUUGUUUGGAAGGGGUUCAAGAAAAAAGCCUCUACUCUCAUCCAAAAACACACUCGAGCGUCUUCAGUGUGCCGACACUACUGGAACUUCAAAUGGGAUCGGGUUCUACGGUCAGAUGAAACCAGAAUAGAGCUUUUUGGUAAUAAACACAGAGGUGGUUUUGGAGCACACAGAGAGGUAGCCGUAUGGAAAAGUCGCUCAUGCCCACGGUUAAAUAUGGAGGAGGAUCUUUAAUGUUUUGGGGCUGUUUUUCUGCAGAGGACCUGGACAUUUUGUUAGGAUACAUGGCAUCAUGGACUCCAUCAAAUAUCAACAGAUAUUAAAUGAAGCCUGACUGCCUCUGCCAGAAAGCUUCAAAGGGGCCGUGGUUGGAUCUUCCAGCAGG